AUGCAAGUCGAGGGGCAGCAUGGUCUUAGCUUGCUAAGACUGAUGGCGACCGGCGCACGGGUGCGUAACGCGUAUGCAACUUGCCUCACAGAGGGGGAUAACCCGUCGAAAGACGGACUAAUACCGCGUACACUCUAUGUUGGGCAUCCAAUGUAGAGGAAAUGAAGUUCGCUGUGAGAUAGGCAUGCGUCCCAUUAGCUAGUUGGUGAGGUAACGGCUCACCAAGGCGACGAUGGGUAGGGGAACUGAGAGGUUGAACCCCCACACUGGUACUGAGACACGGACCAGACUCCUACGGGAGGCAGCAGUGAGGAAUAUUGGUCAAUGGGCGAGAGCCUGAACCAGCCAAGUCGCGUGAAGGAUGACUGUCUUAUGGAUUGUAAACUUCUUUUAUACGGGAAUAACAAGAGCCACGUGUGGCUCCCUGCAUGUACCGUAUGAAUAAGCAUCGGCUAACUCCGUGCCAGCAGCCGCGGUAAUACGGAGGAUGCGAGCGUUAUCCGGAUUUAUUGGGUUUAAAGGGUGCGUAGGCGGCCUGUUAAGUCAGCGGUGAAAUCUAGGAGCUUAACUCCUAAAUUGCCAUUGAUACUGGCGGGCUUGAGUGUAGAUGAGGUAGGCGGAAUGCGUGGUGUAGCGGUGGAAUGCAUAGAUAUCACGCAGAACUCCGAUUGCGAAGGCAGCUUACUAAGGUACAACUGACGCUGAAGCACGAAAGCGUGGGUAUCAAACAGGAUUAGAUACCCUGGUAGUCCACGCAGUAAACGAUGAUAACUGGGCGUAUGCGAUAUACAGUAUGCUCCUAAGCGAAAGCGUUAAGUUAUCCACCUGGGGAGUACGCCGGC
rnacentral:rRNA from 1 species